rfam:Schistosoma margrebowiei strain Zambia genome assembly, scaffold: SMRZ_contig0007403
AUCCAGCUGACAAGUCCCAAAUAAGAAGAAAUACGUGUCCUGGAU